GAUGAACGCUGGCGGCGUGCUUAACACAUGCAAGUCGAACGAAGCUGCCCAAAGGAAGUUUUCGGAUGGAAUUUAGGUAGACUUAGUGGCGGACGGGUGAGUAACGCGUGGAUAACCUGCCUUAUACAGGGGGAUAACGGAGAGAAAUUUCCGCUAACACCGCAUAAGACCACAGCACCGCAUGGUGCAGGGGUAAAAUAUUUAUAGGUAUAAGAUGGAUCCGCGUCCGAUUAGCUAGUUGGUGAGGUAAAGGCCCACCAAGGCGACGAUCGGUAGCCGGCCUGAGAGGGUGAACGGCCACAUUGGGACUGAGACACGGCCCAAACUCCUACGGGAGGCAGCAGUGGGGAAUAUUGGACAAUGGGGGAAACCCUGAUCCAGCGACGCCGCGUGAGUGAAGAAGUAUUUCGGUAUGUAAAGCUCUAUCAGCAGGGAAGAAAAUGACGGUACCUGACUAAGAAGCCCCGGCUAACUACGUGCCAGCAGCCGCGGUAAUACGUAGGGGGCAAGCGUUAUCCGGAUUUACUGGGUGUAAAGGGAGCGCAGACGGCAAUGCAAGUCUGAAGUGAAAGGCGUGGGCUCAACCCAUGAACUGCUUUGGAAACUGUAUAGCUUGAGUGUCGGAGGGGUAAGCGGAAUUCCAUGUGUAGCGGUGAAAUGCGUAGAUAUAUGGAGGAACACCGGUGGCGAAAGCGGCUCUCUGGCUUGUAACUGACGCUGAGGCUCGAAAGCGUGGGGAGCAAACAGG
rnacentral:rRNA from 1 species